rnacentral:ncRNA from 2 species
CUUCAAGAGACGCGGUCGGAAAGCUCCGACUGGACCGCGCACCAACCCCAUGUUCCUGGGUGGUUCGGAUGACGAAGCGGCCUCCACCCCGGCGCAUGCGCCGGACCGGUGCGGGCAAGAGCACUCC